CAAUUCAACACUGGAUUUAAUCAAGUUGUUGUUACUUUUUGUAAUGCAUUCAGAGUUGGUGAUGAUUUGAGGGCAGCAGGUGGUAUCUUUGUGUCCUAUCCUCACCAUUCAGUAGCUGUGGUGCAUAGGCUGUAAUUCAUGGAUGGACUUGUCAAAAGGCCAUCAAAAGUUGUCCUGGGAAGCUGGGCCUGACAGUGAACCACUGGCCUGUUUUUCUCUUGAUGGGAAUCUUCUAAUGUCCCUUCAGUACAUUCUGACUUUGCUGGGUUGUGUCUUUAUGCAAAACAUGAAUUACUAGAGAGUUCUUGCUUCUUGCCAUGUAUGUUAUAAAGAUAAGAUAUUAUUAACCAUGACUCAUAAUCUAGGAAAGACACCGAGUUCUAGAGACAAGGGCUCAGCCUAGAGAUUUGACCCUGACCACGUGGCACCCAGCCUUCACCUCUUGCCCUUCUACAAGGAUGAAAUAAGUAUAAAGUAUUUUGAAGACCAGGUUCUUUGGCCCUGUGGUCUUGAGAUUUCAGUGUCUGUUGAUUUUCUUGGGGGAAGGAUUCUUGCAAGGAUGAAUGUCAUUUGCUGCGUCAGUGGUUUGAAGUCAAUAACCAUUGAUACUGUCCUUUGGGAACUCUUGUGCUUACAGAGGCAAUAUUUUAGAAUGAGGACACAGUCUGCUGAUGAGUAAUACUUAAAACAAAUCAUGGAAGAUUUGGAUAGCUCCUCAGUCUUUGGCAUUGAAGUCUCAGAGUGUCACCAACCUUUGGUGUCAAAUACAGCUGGACUGGACAAUUCAUUUUAUCUAAUUCCACAAGACUGUGACCUUCUUAAAACAGAGGUUUUAUUUGACUGCUAUUUCAUCAGUGCCUGGCACAAGUUCUGUCGUGUAGCAGACAUUUCAUGUUCAAUAAAUGAAUGAAUAAGAAAAUACAGAAAUGAAUGAGGGAGUAAAUUUAGAGUAUAUCAUUUUAUGAAAUAUUUUGUUAAUGAGUACUCCUGAGAUAUUUCCUAAAUCCAGUUAGAAAACAUGAUGCUUCUCAAUUUAAUCGACAAUAAAUGAGUAAUAAAGGUAAAACACGUACAGUAAAACCUUGGUUUGUGAGUAUAAUUCAUUCCAGAAACAUGCUUAUAAUCUCAAACCCUUGUAUAUAAAAACAAAUUUCCCCAUUACAAAUAAUGGAAACUCAGUGAUUCAUUCCACAACCCCAAUAUAUUCAUAUAAAAAUGAUUACAGGGGUGCCUGGGUGGCUCAGUCGGUUGGGUGUCCAACUUUGGCUCAGGUCAUGAUCUCACAGUCCGUGAGUUCGAGCCCCGCGUCAGGCUCUGUGCUGACAGCUCAGAGCCUGGAGCCUGUUUUGGAUUCUGUGUCUCCCUCUCUCUCUGACCCUCCCCUGUUCAUGUUCUGUCUCUCUCU